GAAGGACCACAGCCAUCGCCCGUCUCCCAUCUCCAAGAUGGCGGAGGCAGCUUCAACCUCACCUCUCGCGAGGGGUGCGUCCCACUGUCUCUGAUUAGCCCCGAGGUCAGAGGUAUCACAAGUUUCUGUGAGAGCCAACGUGACAGAUUUUUAGCAAUGAAAAAAGACACACUCGCCAAAUCAUCUCAAUUGCCAACGCAGAAGCGUUUUAUAUAUAUACACAACAAGAAAACCACCAUCUACAAACCAUGAAGCCAAUUCUCGCUAGACACCAGAUCUGACAACACCUUGAUCUUAAGACCUCCCAGCCUCUCGAACUGUGAGAAAUAAAUGUUUAUUGUUUAAGCCACCCAGUCUAUGGUUAUUUGUUUUUUUGUGGGUUUUUUUUUUUUUUUUUUUUGAGACAGAGUCUUGCUCUUUCGCCAAGGCUGGAGUGCCAUGGUACAAACUCAGCUCAAUGCAACCUCUGCCUCCUGGGUUCUAGUGAUUCUCCUGCCUCAGCCUCCCAAGUAGCUGGGACUAUAGCUGCACGCCACCACACCCUAAUUUUUGUAUUUUUACUAGAGACAGGGUUUUACUGUGUUAGCCAGGAUGGUCUCAAUCUCC
rnacentral:lncRNA from 10 species